UACUAGGCAAGUGAUCCGCAGCCUUAACAUCAGUCCAUAGAGGCCUUGGCCAGGUAGUUCAGUUGCUUAGAGAACCGUCCUGAUACGCCAAGGCUGCAGGUUCAAUCCUUGGUCAGGGCAUAUACAAGAAGCAACCAACACAUGCAUCGAUAAGUAAAAAACAAAUUGAUGUUUCUUUCCCCCGCUCCCCCCAAAGUUAAUAACAAACAAAAAUAAAGCACAGAGGAGAAUGCCACCAUUUCUGUUGCCUUCAGAUGUCUCAUACUAUGUACGUAGAAAACCUGACCAACAUCUUAACACUGUAGUUUUUCCUCAAGCUGCGGAUUAACAUCCUUCCCCCUUGCAGCUUCUAUAUGUGGAAAGAAUAGCUGGUGAACCCUACUGUAGGAGAUCCUCAUGGGCCCUUGGAAAGAAGGAAUUCAGAAAAUGAAGCAAUGUUAGGAAAAACUGGGUAAUUUUAAAAAAUACAGUCACUAGGACUUGAUGCUAAGAAAGAUGGAAAAGGAACGUAUUUACUAGUUUCUGUGAUCAUCUGUAUUGGAAUCCAUUUGAAUGAGAGACCAUUUGAAGUUCAUGUUGUCAGUGAAGCUCCGCCUACAACUUUCCGGACACAGGAAUGAGAGAGUUGCAGAUCAAUUGAUAGGACUAUAUUAUAUAAGCCACUUAACUAAUUACCCAGGAUGGUUGGGGAAAGAGGGUCAAGUUGCUAUUUUAAAGAUAUAGUAGGAAAGGUAUUGAAAGAUAAAUGUCAAACACAUUGAAAAUAGACAGCCAUUCACAAUCAUGCAUUAUUAAAUAAUCUAGCAAAACCAUUUCGUACCUCUCCGCUCAUUUCUAUGUU